rnacentral:rRNA from 1 species
UCCUGGCUCAGGAUGAACGCUAGCGGCAGGCCUAACACAUGCAAGUCGAGGGGUAACAGGGGGUGCUUGCACUCCGCUGACGACCGGCGCACGGGUGCGUAACGCGUAUACAAUCUGCCUUAUACUGGGGUAUAGCCUUUAGAAAUGAAGAUUAAUCCCCCAUAGUCUCUAGAUGUGGCAUCACAAUUAGAGUAAAGGUUACGGUAUAAGAUGAGUAUGCGUUCUAUUAGUUUGUUGGUGAGGUAACGGCUCACCAAGACUACGAUAGAUAGGGGCCCUGAGAGGGGGAUCCCCCACACUGGUACUGAGACACGGACCAGACUCCUACGGGAGGCAGCAGUGAGGAAUAUUGGACAAUGGAGGCAACUCUGAUCCAGCCAUGCCGCGUGCAGGAAGACUGCCCUAUGGGUUGUAAACUGCUUUUAUAUAGGAAGAAACCUUGGUACGUGUACCAAGCUGACGGUACUAUAAGAAUAAGGAUCGGCUAACUCCGUGCCAGCAGCCGCGGUAAUACGGAGGAUCCAAGCGUUAUCCGGAAUCAUUGGGUUUAAAGGGUCCGUAGGUGGAUAAUUAAGUCAGAGGUGAAAUCUUGCAGCUCAACUGUAAAAUUGCCUUUGAUACUGGUUGUCUUGAGUUAUUAUGAAGUAGUUAGAAUAUGUAGUGUAGCGGUGAAAUGCAUAGAUAUUACAUAGAAUACCAAUUGCGAAGGCAGAUUACUAAUAAUCAACUGACACUGAUGGACGAAAGCGUGGGUAGCGAACAGGAUUAGAUACCCUGGUAGUCCACGCCGUAAACGAUGGUUACUAGCUGUUUGGACCUUGUGUCUGAG